rnacentral:rRNA from 1 species
AGUGCAUCAGGUGGAUGCCUUGGCGAUGAUAGGCGACGAAGGACGUGUAAGCCUGCGAAAAGCGUGGGGGAGCUGGCAAUAAAGCAAUGAUCCCGCGAUGUCCGAAUGGGGAAACCCGCUGCAUUCUGUGCAGUAUCCUAAGUUGAAUACAUAGACUUAGAGAAGCGAACCCGGAGAACUGAACCAUCUAAGUACCCGGAGGAAAAGAAAUCAACCGAGAUUCCGCAAGUAGUGGCGAGCGAACGCGGAGGAGCCUGUACGUAAUAACUGUCGAGAUAGAAGAACAAGCUGGGAAGCUUGACCAUAGUGGGUGAUAGUCCCGUAUUCGAAAUCUCAACAGUGGUACUAAGCGUACGAAAAGUAGGGCGGGACACGUGAAAUCCUGUCUGAAUAUGGGGGGACCAUCCUCCAAGGCUAAAUACUCAUCAUCGACCGAUAGUGAACCAGUACCGUGAGGGAAAGGCGAAAAGAACCCCGGGAGGGGAGUGAAAUAGAACCUGAAACCUGAUGCAUACAAACAGUGGGAGCACCCUUGUGGUGUGACUGCGUACCUUUUGUAUAAUGGGUCAACGACUUACAUUCAGUAGCGAGCUUAACCGAAUAGGGGAGGCGUAGGGAAACCGAGUCUUAAUAGGGCGAACAGUUGCUGGGUGUAGACCCGAAACCGAGUGAUCUAUCCAUGGCCAGGUUGAAGGUGCCGUAACAGGUACUGGAGGACCGAACCCACGCAUGUUGCAAAAUGCGGGGAUGAGCUGUGGAUAGGGGUGAAAGGCUAAACAAACUCGGAGAUAGCUGGUUCUCCCCGAAAACUAUUUAGGUAGUGCCUCGAGCAAGACACUGAUGGGGGUAAAGCACUGUUAUGGCUAGGGGGUUAUUGCAACUUACCAACCCAUGGCAAACUAAGAAUACCAUCAAGUGGUUCCUCGGGAGACAGACAGCGGGUGCUAACGUCCGUUGUCAAGAGGGAAACAACCCAGACCGCCAGCUAAGGUCCCAAAUGAUAGAUUAAGUGGUAAACGAAGUGGGAAGGCCCAGACAGCCAGGAUGUUGGCUUAGAAGCAGCCAUCAUUUAAAGAAAGCGUAAUAGCUCACUGGUCGAGUCGUCCUGCGCGGAAGAUGUAACGGGGCUCAAAUCUAUAACCGAAGCUGCGGAUGCCAGUUUACUGGCAUGGUAGGGGAGCGUUCUGUAGGCCGAUGAAGGUGCAUUGUAAAGUGUGCUGGAGGUAUCAGAAGUGCGAAUGUUGACAUGAGUAGCGAUAAAGCGGGUGAAAAGCCCGCUCGCCGAAAGCCCAAGGUUUCCUACGCAACGUUCAUCGGCGUAGGGUGAGUCGGCCCCUAAGGCGAGGCAGAAAUGCGUAGUCGAUGGGAAACAGGUUAAUAUUCCUGUACUUGAUUCAAAUGCGAUGUGGGGACGGAGAAGGUUAGGUUAGCAAGCUGUUGGAAUAGCUUGUUUAAGCCGGUAGGUGGAAGACUUAGGCAAAUCCGGGUCUUCUUAACACCGAGAAGUGACGACGAGUGUCUACGGACAUGAAGUAACCGAUACCACGCUUCCAGGAAAAGCCACUAAGCUUCAGUUUGAAUUGAACCGUACCGCAAACCGACACAGGUGGGCAGGAUGAGAAUUCUAAGGCGCUUGAGAGAACUCGGGAGAAGGAACUCGGCAAAUUGAUACCGUAACUUCGGGAGAAGGUAUGCCCUCUAAGGUUAAGGACUUGCUCCGUAAGCCCUGGAGGGUCGCAGAGAAUAGGUGGCUGCGACUGUUUAUUAAAAACACAGCACUCUGCUAACACGAAAGUGGACGUAUAGGGUGUGACGCCUGCCCGGUGCUGGAAGGUUAAUUGAAGAUGUGAGAGCAUCGGAUCGAAGCCCCAGUAAACGGCGGCCGUAACUAUAACGGUCCUAAGGUAGCGAAAUUCCUUGUCGGGUAAGUUCCGACCCGCACGAAUGGCGUAACGAUGGCCACACUGUCUCCUCCCGAGACUCAGCGAAGUUGAAGUGGUUGUGAAGAUGCAAUCUACCCGCUGCUAGACGGAAAGACCCCGUGAACCUUUACUGUAGCUUUGCAUUGGACUUUGAAGUCACUUGUGUAGGAUAGGUGGGAGGCUUUGAAGCAGAGACGCCAGUCUCUGUGGAGCCGUCCUUGAAAUACCACCCUGGUGUCUUUGAGGUUCUAACCCAGACCCGUAAUCCGGGUCGGGGACCGUGCAUGGUAGGCAGUUUGACUGGGGCGGUCUCCUCCCAAAGAGUAACGGAGGAGCACGAAGGUUUG